GAUGAACGCUGGCGGCGUGCCUAAUACAUGCAAGUCGAGCGAACGGACGAGAAGCUUUCUUCUCUGAUGUUAUCGGCGGACGGGUGAGUAACACGUGGAUAACCUACCUAUAAGACUGGGGUAACUUCGGGAAACCGGAGCUAAUACCGGAUAAUAUUUUGAACCGCAUGGUUCACAAGUGAAAGACGGUCUUGCUGUCACUUAUAGCUGGAUCCGCGCUGCAUGAGCUAGUUGGUAAGGUAACGGCUUACCAAGGCAACGAUGCAUAGCCGACCUGAGAGGGUGAUCGGACACACUGGAACUGAGACACGGUCCAGACUCCUACGGGAGGAAGCAGUAGGGAAUCUUCCGCAAUGGACGAAAGCCUGACGGAGCAAAGCCGCGUGAGUGAUGAAGGUCUUCGGAUCGGAAAACUCUGUUAUUAGGAAAGAAGAUAUGUGUAAGUAACUGUGCACAUAAUGACGGUACCUAAUGAGAAAGCCACGGCUAACUACGUG
rnacentral:rRNA from 1 species